rnacentral:rRNA from 1 species
AAUGAACGCUGGCGGCGUGCCUAACACAUGCAAGUCGAACGCGAAAGCCCUGCUUGCAGGGCGAGUAGAGUGGCGAACGGGUGAGUAACGCGUGGGUAACCUACCCCUCAGUUGGGGAUAAUCCCGCGAAAGUGGGUCUAAUACCGGAUGACAUCGCCUCUCCUCGGAGGGGUGAUCAAAGAUGGCCUCUGGUACAAGCUAUCGCUGGGGGAGGGGCUCGCGUCCUAUUAGCUUGUUGGUGGGGUAACGGCCCACCAAGGCGACGAUGGGUAGCCGGCCUGAGAGGGUGUCCGGCCACACUGGAACUGAGACACGGUCCAGACUCCUACGGGAGGCAGCAGUGGGGAAUUUUUCGCAAUGGGCGAAAGCCUGACGAAGCGACGCCGCGUGGACGAUGAAGGCCUUCGGGCCGUAAAGUCCUGUCGGGUGGGAAGAAAAGUAUGAGCUCGAAUAAAGCUCAUGCUUGACGGUACCACCCAAGGAAGCCCCGGCCAACUCCGUGCCAGCAGCCGCGGUAAUACGGGGGGGGCAAGCGUUAUUCGGAAUCACUGGGCGUAAAGGGCGUCUAGGCGGUCGGGUAAGUCGUGGGUGAAAGCCCCCGGCUCAACCGGGGAAGUGCCUGCGAAACUAUCCGACUUGAGGUCGGGAGAGGAAAGUGGAAUUCCCAGUGUAGCGGUGAAAUGCGCAGAUAUUGGGGAGGAACACCAGUGGCGAAGGCGGCUUUCUGGACCGACCCUGACGCUGAAGCGCGAAAGCUAGGGGAGCGAACGGGAUUAGAUACCCCGGUAGUCCUAGCCGUAAACGAUGGGCACUUGGUGUAGCAGGAUUUAAAACCUGCUGUGCCGAAGCUAACGCAUUAAGUGCCCCGCCUGGGGAGUACGGCCGCAAGGCUGAAACUCAAAGGAAUUGACGGGGGCCCGCACAAGCGGUGGAGCAUGUGGUUUAAUUCGAUGCAACGCGAAGAACCUUACCGGGGCUUGAAGUGUGGUUGACAGGAUGAGAAAUUAUCCCUUCUCU